GAUGAACGCCGGCGGCGUGCCUAACACAUGCAAGUCGAACGGAGAUUACGGACGGAAGUUUUCGGAUGGAAGUUUGUAAUUCUUAGUGGCGGACGGGUGAGUAACGCGUGGGCAACCUGCCCUAUACAGGGGGAUAGCAGCUGGAAACGGCUGGUAAGACCGCAUAAGUCGGUUAAAUCGCAUGAUUUGAUCGGGAAAUGAGCAAUCAGGUAUAGGAUGGGCCCGCGUCCGAUUAGCCAGUUGGCAGGGUAAAAGCCUACCAAAGCGACGAUCGGUAGCCGGACUGAGAGGUCGGACGGCCACAUUGGGACUGAGACACGGCCCAAACUCCUACGGGAGGCAGCAGUGGGGGAUAUUGCACAAUGGAGGAAACUCUGAUGCAGCGACGCCGCGUGAGUGAAGAAGUAUUUCGGUAUGUAAAGCUCUAUCAGCAGGGAAGAUGAUGACGUACCUACUAA
rnacentral:rRNA from 1 species